rnacentral:rRNA from 1 species
UGGGGAAUUUUGGACAAUGGGCGCAAGCCUGAUCCAGCCAUGCCGCGUGAGUGAAGAAGGCCUUCGGGUUGUAAAGCUCUUUCAGACGGAAAGAAAUCUCUUGGGCGAAUACCCUGGGAGGAUGACGGUACCGUAAGAAGAAGCACCGGCUAACUACGUGCCAGCAGCCGCGGUAAUACGUAGGGUGCGAGCGUUAAUCGGAAUUACUGGGCGUAAAGCGUGCGCAGGCGGUUUAGUAAGACAGGCGUGAAAUCCCCGGGCUCAACCUGGGAACUGCGCUUGUGACUGCUAAGCUAGAGUACGGCAGAGGGGGGUGGAAUUCCACGUGUAGCAGUGAAAUGCGUAGAGAUGUGGAGGAACACCAAUGGCGAAGGCAGCCCCCUGGGUCGAUACUGACGCUCAUGCACGAAAGCGUGGGUAGCAGACA